UACAGAGGUGGCAAGCGUUGUUCGGAUUUACUGGGCGUAAAGCGCACGUAGGCGGGUCGUUAAGUCAGGGGUGAAAUCCCGGAGCUCAACUCCGGAGCUGCCUUUGAUACUGGCGACCUUGAGGCUGGAAGAGGUUAGUGGAAUUCCCAGUGUAGAGGUGAAAUUCGUAGAUAUUGGGAAGAACACCAGUGGCGAAGGCGGCUAACUGGUCCAGAUCUGACGCUGAGGUGCGAAAGCGUGGGGAGCAAACAGG
rnacentral:rRNA from 1 species